AAUUUCAAAUUUCAUAUUUUGCAUACAAUUCCAUACAAGAUUUACACCGUUUCAAUUCAACUAUGAAUCAUAAUACAUCAUUACAAUUACAAUUCCAAAUUUCUAACUACGUCUAAUUACAACCAUAAACCCAACUUUACAUUCAACAAUAAAUUCCAAACAUCCACGAGCAAAAGGUGCAUCUCCAAACUUGAUCACAAUCCAAGCUCCUUAACCAAAGCCUUGCACAAAAUCAGAGAAAAGCCAAUUACAGUUCAAACAACAAAGUGACAUCACCAAGGCAUAAUAGAGUUCAAUGAUAAUGGCACUCAUUCCUUUUGACAGCAGCCUUUCACAAACUCAUAGACAAAGUCAAGCAAACGUUCACAAUAACAGCAGUGCACAUAUAUUGCAUAACAUCUCAUAACCAUGUACACCACACAAAACCUAAGCAUUAUAAAUGUCAUUAAUUUUAAUUUUAAACCAAAUUCCAUUCAUUUCCAUAACUAAUUGAAAUUAACAGUUACAACAAUUAACGGUCCAAAACCAUUUAGUCUCAAUUCAACACCACUAACAUAAUCAGUUUCAAUCAAGCUAUAACCACUAAUAUAAUUUUCACCAAACUAAACUCACAAUUGCAUCACAUUUAAAUUCCAGUCACAUAGCAAUAGCAUGACAGUUCAAUUAACAGCCGCAUAUUAGCUUAACAAAAGUUUUCCUAACUAAUUAACUCUCACAAUUUUCACUUAACCGAAAUUUAACAAACAUUAACAGUCAUAACAGAAUUCAAAACAACCUACUAACUGAUAGCAGACCUAACUCGAGUAAGAAAUCUAACAGAAACUUAACUCCAUCCUAGCAGAAAUUCAGUAAUCACCAAAUAGUUCGCUAAUAGCCGUCCACAAUAAAAGCAUAACAUGGUUUCAUUCAAGUCAUAACAGCUUAGCAUUAACAUUAACAGAAGCAGACUAUUAGACUUCAAAACUCCUCUUCCCAACAUAUAACAGAACUGAACUUUCACUCUUCACAACUAACAGAACCAUCAUUCUCUCGUGACCAAAAUCAACUAACCGAAUUUCACAACAAAUUCUAAACCGUUUCUUAACAACUUUUCCCAACAAACUUCUCAAGUAAAUCACCUGCAAAUCUUCGAACCUUCUAACAUAAAUCACCAUUCUAGCCUCUUCGAAUCCUAUAUCGCGAAUUCGUGGAAUAAACCUUGAAGCAGACAUUCCCAAAAACGAAAUUCUCUUAACCAUCUUCAAAUCAAAGAAAAAGGAGAUAGUUAAAGAGAACUUCACAAAGAAAGAAUAAACAGAAGAUUCGGGGAAGAGAAGAAUCGAAAUUGUAACAAGAAAUUGAAAGGGAAAACUCAUGAUUCAAGAGGCUUCGUCUUCAUCGCAAUCAGGAACCCAACAACGCAUCGAACAAAAGCUUCAUCAUCAACGGCGCGGAAAUGUGAAUUUUGCACGGAGGGAUUCAGGUCGCUCGCGAAAAGGAUUUAGGCACAGACGGUGAGAGUUUUCGUUUUCGACAUCAACGUUUUUUUCUUUUUCUUUCAUGUUAUUACGCGUGUCAUUUGGAUACGAGUUCUUCAGAGCGUUGAGUUUCCUUGGUUCGUGAAGAUCCGAAUUUUGGUUGAGAACUUGGGCUUUUUUGCCCAAAAGGUUCAUGGCCCAGGCGCCAUUUCUAAUACACCUCCCUCAAAUUAUCUUACCCAUGGCCCAUUAAGGAUUAUUCAUGUUAAUCAAUCCCUAAUCCCUUCAUUAAUUAUGUUUAAUUUAUAGUAAUUGCAAUUAAUUUUUUGUGUUUAAUCAUUGCUACUGAUUUUUCUUAUUAGGGUUUAAAUUAGGAUUUUUCUUGAUUUUUUUUUUGUUAAUUAGGGAUUAACAUGGUUUUUAAUGAUUAGGUUAAUUCAUCAUAUUAUUAAUAUAGUUUGAUUAGAAUUUGAUUAGGUUUAUUCAUCAUGUUGAUUUGAUUUUGUUUUUUUCAGAAUUAAUCCAAUUGUAGUUAAUCAUGCUUAGAGUAGUAUAACUUGUCAUUAGGUUUUGGUUAAUUCUUUUUCAUUUUAUUCAUGAUCGACUAAUAUGCUUAAUUGUGUUUUUUUUUAUCAUGAUUCACUUUUUAGUUAAAUUUUUAUUCAAUUCUCCAUUACCUUGUGAUUGCCAUGUCCAUGUUCAUGAGAUUCAAUUGUGAUUUAGGUUGUUAAAUUACCCCUUGAUUAAUUUGAUCCAUAAUUCAUGUUUAUGUUGAUUUUUUAUCAUUAAAUUUAAUAAUCACUUUAAUUGUCAAUUUAAUCGAUUCAUUUGGUUUAUGAUCAUCUUAUGAAAAUUGAAAAUGUCAUUUCAAUUUAUGUGAUGUAUGCCUUGUGUAUGUCCAUGUGAUUAGUCUUUGAUUAUUUGUCCAUGUGAUUAGUCUUUCAUUUUAGCCAUGGUAGGCCAAACUAACCAAAACUUGACUAAUCCAACAUGCCCUAAAUUGCAAUUUUGAUGUUUUCUUGAAUUCCAAGGCACAAUGAUGAUCAUUUGAAGACCAAAUGAUAAAAUCUUGGUAGAAACCAAGCCUUGAUGCCUUGUCGUAUGAUUAUGGGCUAUGUUUAUGGAUGAACCCAUGGUGAUUCAAAGUUCAAAGUUCAAAACUUCCACUUAUAUUGCCAACUAUGAAGUGGAUGGAUGUUUGGGUGGAUAAUGAUUGAAAUUAGCUUGAAUUAGAUGUGAAUGGACUAAUGGAUGAUGAGGUGAUCAAGUGGAAAGGCAAAGCAUAUAACCCAUGGUGAUUCAAAGUUCAAGAAUUCCACUUGUAUUGCCAACUAUGAAGUGGAUGGAUGUUUGGGUGGAUAAUGAUUGAAAUUAGCUUGAAUUGGAUGUGAAUGGACUAAUGGAUGAUGAGGUGAUCAAGUGGAAAGGAAAAGCAUAAAAUCAUAGAGGAACAAUUAGGGUUUCUUGGACCAAAAAGAUCCUCAAAGGCCAAGGUUAUACAAACUAGGGUUUGGGUGCAUGAGGUGUCUUAGUGUAGUUUCACAAGAUUGAUGCAUAAUCAAUGGUUGAAUAUUAGGGUUCCUUAAGGGCAAGGCCAAAAUACAAAGACAAAUGAUGGCUUGUACAAUCCAUAAAGGAUCAAGGGAUUAGAGUUGAAGUCCAUGGAUGAUCAAAUGAAUAAGCAAAGCUUUCAACCAAGUCUCACCCUUCAAUUAGGCUUUUAGAGGUGAGUGGGGUGACUUAAUAGUCCCUUAAGGUCAAAGGAUGCUUGCAAAUAGCAAUUAGGGUUUAUGGUGGAUUGGGCACAUCCCAACAUGAUCAAGAGAUCUUGGUUGUUCUCAAAUAUGAACAUCAUGCAUUGAGUUUAUGCUUUCUUGUUAUGAGUGUAAAUGCAAAUGAGACGAUGAUAUGAUGAAUGUAUGUCAAUGCAUUAGGGUUAUGAAAGGUUGUAUAAUAGGUAUGGUAAAUUUGGAGGUAUGACAGAAGGGAAGAUUAAUCUCUUUACAAAAUUUGAUUCAAGUGCAACAACUCUUCUAAUAUAUUCAUAUUUGUUCAAAAGUUAUAUUUAAUCGCCAAGUGCAUGAGUGAGUUGUUUUGUAAAUAGAAAAUGAUGUGCUUUCUAGUUUUUAUGAUCAUCAAAGUGUUUUGGUGAUUGUUGUAAAAUGUCAUUUGAAUUGGGGUGAUUCAAAAUCCACCAUCAGUUUGGUGUUUGUGAAAUCAAGGAAGUAAUUUACUUCUUUGUUAUUGUUAGAAGAUUGUAGGAGGAGUCUUGGUGUGAGACUUGUAUAAAGAUAUAACAAUCUUAUAAGGUGUGAAGGGACUAGAUGUACACUUAGUUGAUAAGAG
rnacentral:lncRNA from 1 species